UUCGGCCUUAUCAGGCUGUGUGAGUACGCUCCACCAGGCGACGACGGUAGCCGCUGAGAGGGUGACGACACAUGGGACUGAGACACGUCCAGACUCUACGGGAGGCAGCAGUGGGGAAUAUGCACAUGGCGCAGCUGAUGCAGCAACGCGCGUGAGGGAUGACGUCUCGGGUGUAAACCUCUUUAGCAGGGAGAGCGAAAGUGACGGUACCUGCAGAAAAAGCGCCGGCUAACUACGUGCCAGCAGCCGCGGUAAUACGUAGGGCGCAAGCGUUGUCCGGAAUUAUUGGGCGUAAAGAGCUCGUAGGCGGUCUGUCGCGUCUGCUGUGAAAUCCCGAGGGCUCAACCUCGGGGCUUGCAGUGGGUACGGGCAGACUAGAGUGCGGUAGGGGAGAAUGGAAUUCCUGGUGUAGCGGUGGAAUGCGCAGAUAUCAGGAGGAACACCGAUGGGCGAAGGCAGUUCUCUGGGCCGUAACUGACGCUGAGGAGCGAAAGCGUGGGGAGCGAACAGGAUUAGAUACCCUGGUAGUCCACGCCGUAAACGUUGGGCGCUAGUUGUGGGGACCAUUCCACGGUCUCCGUGACGUAGCUAACGCAUUAAGCGCCCCGCCUGGGGAGUACGGCCGCAAGGCUAAAACUCAAAGGAAUUGACGGGGGCCCGCACAAGCGGCGGAGCAUGCGGAUUAAUUCGAUGCAACGCGAAGAACCUUACCAAGGCUUGACAUAUAGAGGAAAAGGCUGGAAACAGUCUCCCCGCAAGGUCUCUAUACAGGUGGUGCAUGGUUGUCGUCAGCUCGUGUCGUGAGAUGUUGGGUUAAGUCCCGCAACGAGCGCAACCCUCGUCCUAUGUUGCCAGCGGUUCGGCCGGGAACUCAUGGGAUACUGCCGGGGUCAACUCGGAGGAAGGUGGGGAUGACGUCAAAUCAUCAUGCCCCUUAUGUCUUGGGCUUCACGCAUGCUACAAUGGCCGGUACAAAGGGCUGCAAUACCGCAAGGUGGAGCGAAUCCC
rnacentral:rRNA from 1 species